rnacentral:rRNA from 1 species
GUAAAUAAUUAUACGAAUUAUUGAUAAAUUAAAAUAUUAUUUAUUAGGUGAAAUUUUAAAUGUUAAAUUAAUUUAUAAAAAAGUUUUUAUUAUUAUGAAAUUUAUAUUUAAACUAGGAUUAGAUACCCUAUUAUUUUAAAUGUAAAAAAAUAUUACUUAAGUAGUAUUAGUUAUGUUCUUGAAAUUUAAAGAUUUUGGCGGUAUUUUAGUCUAUUUAGAGGAACCUGUUCUGUAAUUGAUAAUCCACGAUUAACUUUACUUAUUUUAUAAAUUUGUAUACCGUCGUUAUAAGAAAAUUUUAGCAGAAAAUAAAUUUUUAAUAUUUUAAAUUAAAAAAUAUAUCAGAUCAAGGUGCAGUAUAUAUCUAAGAAGAAAUGGGUUACAAUAAAUUUAUUUAUACGGAUUAAAGUAAGAAUAAGCUUUAUGAAGGUGGAUUUAAUAGUAAUAAAAUUUAAUUAAAUUUUAUGAUUUUAGCUCUAAAAUAUGUACAUAUCGCCCGUCGCUCUUAUUAUAAGGUAAGAUAAGUCGUAACAUAGUAGAUGUACUGGAAAGUGUAUCUA